rnacentral:rRNA from 1 species
AGUGAACGCUGGCGGUGGGCCUAACACAUGCAAGUCGAACGGCAGCACAGUAAGAGCUUGCUCUUACGGGUGGCGAGUGGCGGACGGGUGAGGAAUACAUCGGAAUCUACUUUUUCGUGGGGGAUAACGUAGGGAAACUUACGCUAAUACCGCAUACGACCUACGGGUGAAAGCAGGGGAUCUUCGGACCUUGCGCGAUUGAAUGAGCCGAUGUCGGAUUAGCUAGUUGGCGGGGUAAAGGCCCACCAAGGCGACGAUCCGUAGCUGGUCUGAGAGGAUGAUAGGCCACACUGGAACUGAGACACGGUCCAGACUCCUACGGGAGGCAGCAGUGGGGAAUAGUGGACAAUGGGCGCAAGCCUGAUCCAGCCAUACCGCGUGGGUGAAGAAGGCCUUCGGGUUGUAAAGCCCUUUUGUUGGGAAAGAAAAGCAGCAGGUUAAUACCCCGCUGUUCUGACGGUACCCAAAGAAUAAGCACCGGCUAACUUCGUG